rnacentral:tRNA from 1 species
GGAGGUCAGGUUAGGUUCAAGGCCACUUUGAGGUCUUGAAAACCGCCGUCCGAAAGGAUAUGCAGGUUCGAGCCCUGUCCCCUCCG